rnacentral:rRNA from 1 species
UCUACCCAUCUCUACGGAAUAACGCAUGGAAACGUGUGCUAAUACCGUAUACGUCCUUUUGGAGAAAGAUUUAUCGGAGAUGGAUGAGCCCGCGUUGGAUUANCUAGUUGGUGGGGUAAAGGCCUACCAAGGCGACGAUCCAUAGCUGGUCUGACAGGAUGAUCAACCACACUGGGACUGACACACGGGCCAAACUCCUACGGGAGGCAGCAGUGGGGAAUAUUGGACAAUGGGCGCAAGCCUGAUCCAACCAUGCCGCGUGUGUGAUGAAGGCCCUAGGGUUGUAAAGCACUUUCACCGGAGAAGAUAAUGACGGUAUCCGGAUAAGAAGCCCCGGAUAACUUCGUGCCAGCAGCCGCGGUAAUACGAAGGGGGCUAGCGUUGUUCGGAUUUACUGGGCGUAAAGCGCACGUAGGCGGACUAUUAAGUCAGGGGUGAAAUCCCGGGGCUCAACCCCGGAACUGCCUUUGAUACUGGUAGUCUUGAGUUCGAGAGAGGUGAGUGGAAUUCCNAGUGUANAGGUGAAAUUCGUAGAUAUUCNNAGGAACACCANUGGCGAAGGCGGNUCACUGGCUCGAUACUGACGCUGAGGUGCGAAAGCGUGNGGAGCAAACAGGAUUAGAUACCCUGGUAGUCCACGCCNUANACUAUGANAGCUAGCCGUCNNNCAGUAUACUGUUCGGUGGCGCAGCAAACGCAUUANGCUCUCCGCCUGG